GACGAACGCUGGCGGCGUGCCUAAUACAUGCAGGUCGAACGGAAAGGCCCUGCUUUUGUGGGGUGCUCGAGUGGCGAACGGGUGAGUAACACGUGAGUAACCUGUCCUUGACUUUGGGAUAACUUCAGGAAACUGGGGCUAAUAUCGGAUAGGAGCUCCUGCUGCAUGGUGGGGGUUGGAAAGUUUCGGCGGUUGGGGAUGGACUCGCGGCUUAUCAGCUUGUUGGUGGGGUAGUGGCUUACCAAGGCUUUGACGGGUAGCCGGCCUGAGAGGGUGACCGGCCACAAUGGGACUGAGAUACGGCCCAGACUCCUACGGGAGGCAGCGGUGGAAAAUAUUGCGCAAUGGGCGGAAGCCUGAUACAACAGCGCCGGGUGCGGGAUGACGGCCUUCGGGUUGUAAACCGCUUUCGCCUGUGACGAAGCGUGAGUGACGGUAAUGGGUAAAGAAGCACCGGCUAACUACGUG
rnacentral:rRNA from 1 species